rnacentral:lncRNA from 1 species
AAUGAACCAACAAUGUGUAAAGACAACAUGGUGGAAAGCUGGAAAAGAGUGAAAUAAAAUUGGAGAAGGUGAAGUCCUCCACAUUGCUACACAUGGCAUGCCCAAAGCACUGGGUAUAUACAAUAUGUUCUAUGGAGAGCCUGAGGGACCUGUAAACUGCUAGAUAAAAACCCAUUCAGUGAAUAUUUUGAUCCUCACAAGAAUGUCACUUGGGAAAGGCACAUUUUUUACAAGAAACCAGCUGCCAGAUGAGACCAUUGACCAUUGUUAAGAUCUUUAAAAUAAAGCCAAGUAAUGUGAAUUGGAGCAGUUAACAGAUGGAUGAAUUACUUGUGAUAUAAGUGAUAACCAAGUCAAAGCAAGGUGAGAAAAGGACUUGACAUUGCAAAGAACAGCGGAUAUUUGCAGGGCUAGUAAAGACUGCUUCCCAAAUAAAAGUGUUAGCUAGUGGUGAAAGAACUGGAGUGUAUCUAAUUAAAAAUGCAUACCAAAGCAUAAAGAGAGAAUACAAGGGUAAACAAAUGGCAGAGACCAGACUUGUUUUCAAUAGAUGUAAAAUCAAUCACAACAUGGUGAAAAGGUCCUACACAAGAGGUUCGGUGUCCUGUAUACAAUGAAAGCAGCCAUUUUGCCGAAAUUAAAUUGCUUUCAAUUCAACUUGCAAAGAUCUGCCUAAGAAAAGCUAUCUGUGGCUGCGCUGCUGGAGGACAUAAUGGAUGACAACGGUGAUUUCAAUGGCUGAUGUAGAGGAUGGUAGGGAUGAUACUAUUCUAUAAAAUCAGAUUUUCUGCUGGACCAGAACAUUACCUUUGAAAUUAUCUCACAAACAGGAUUGCAAUUUACAGAUUUUGAAAAUUGUCUGAUGACACUAAAGUAAUGAAGAAUUCCUUAAUAGCUUCAUUCCACAGAGUUUUACAUAAAUUAAAUAAAUCUGUAGAGAUUACACUACUCUACUAAUCACAAAGAUACAGCAGAGAAUAAAGUAUUUGCAGUCUUGGUGCCUCUACAAAACAAGGUCCAGAGACCAUUUCAAGUACCAAUUGAACCUAGCCUUUUCUCAACAAAGGAACUGUGGAUAGCCUCUAAAAAUCAUCAAUCCUUUGUUGCAUAUUUCUUUAUGAGCACAGAUGCUUACAACGUCUAUCGAGUGACUGUAAAUAACAUCAUUUUUAAUUAGAAAUGCGCUGAUUUAAAACUGCCUGCUCAUCUUAGCUCCAUCUUUCAGCCAGUUUCUCUUGUCUGCUCUUCCAAGAAGAAGAGUUUUGCUGAAAGAAGAGUUAGAUUGCUGUUUUGAGAAAACAGGAUGCUGGAAUGCACAAUCAAGUCAUGACCUUCAGGAACAGAAGAGAGACAAGAACAAAAGAGAGACUGUUGUCUUCAGAAGGAAAAUAAUCUCUCUCUAAAAUCUAAAUAGUUCAAUAGCUUCUCCCAGUGUGAAAACAGCAUGGCCUAAUUUUCAGUCCUGUUCUUGUAUUAGCACGUUAUGUUAG